rnacentral:lncRNA from 10 species
UUAUUGUGGUUUGUCCGUUCCGAGCGCUCCGCAGAACAGUCCUCCCUGUAAGAGCCUAACCAUUGCCAGGGAAACCUGCCCUGGGCGCUCCCUUCAUUAGCAGUAUUUUUUUUAAAUUAAUCUGAUUAAUAAUUAUUUUUCCCCCAUUUAAUUUUUUUUCCUCCCAGGUGGAGUUGCCGAAGCUGGGGGCAGCUGGGGAGGGUGGGGAUGGGAGGGGAGAGACAGAAGUUGAGGGCAUCUCUCUCUUCCUUCCCGACCCUCUGGCCCCCAAGGGGCAGGAGGAAUGCAGGAGCAGGAGUUGAGCUUGGGAGCUGCAGAUGCCUCCGCCCCUCCUCUCUCCCAGGCUCUUCCUCCUGCCCCCUUCUUGCAACUCUCCUUAAUUUUGUUUGGCUUUUGGAUGAUUAUAAUUAUUUUUAUUUUUGAAUUUAUAUAAAGUAUAUGUGUGUGUGUGUGGAGCUGAGACAGGCUCGGCAGCGGCACAGAAUGAGGGAAGACGAGAAAGAGAGUGGGAGAGAGAGAGGCAGAGAGGGAGAGAGGGAGAGUGACAGCAGCGCUCGAGACGGACGGCAAGCGGUCCCGAACCAGUUACACGCGCUACCAGACUCUGGAACUCGAGAAAGAAUUCCACUUUAACCGCUACCUCACUCGCCGCAGGCGCAUAGAGAUCGCCAACAACUUGUGUCUCAAUGAGAGACAGAUCAAGAUCUGGUUCCAGAACCGCAGGAUGAAGUGGAAGAAAGAUUCCAAAAUGAAAAGCAAAGAGGCUCUUUAGAGGCAGCGGGGGAGGCCCGCAGAGCGCGCCCCUAGCCGGUUCCUGUCCCUGCGCCUUUCCUUUUCGCCUUUCCUCUCUAUAUUUCGGGUCGGGGGCAGGUGCUGGAGCACUGGGCUCCCGGGCCCCACAGACAAAAGCGCUUUUCCUUGGCAUUCCGCAUCCCUACCGACCCAGGGUUCCCGCGGGGCUGUCGGCGCUGCCCCAUCUCCCCUCAGCUCGGCUCAGCUCGGUACCCGGGGCCCAGGGCAAGCUCCGCAGGACUUCCCCGGAGGGCUGCGGCGUACAGGCUGGCGCAGAACGAACCUUGGCCUGGGCCGUAUCUCCGGCUCCCAGCCUCAGCGCGGCCCUCCCGAGUUAAGGUGGGCCCGGCCCGCGCCACAGGACCCUCGCCGGACCCUCUAACCUCGCCCUCUCCUUUGUUCCCGGCUGGACGGGUUAGACAGCCAAAGGCUGGCGAGAGUCUGGCCCUAGACUCGGGGUGCUUCCUUGUAGCGACUAAACUAGAUUUUCACUUAUGAAUGAUUUGCAUAUGAAAGGAGAGCAUCGGCCUAGGGCCCCCACAGUUGCUCUAUGCUUUCCAAACCUUAUCUCCACAACCUCUUCCCCCCAAAACCCGGGAACCUCCCCAGCCUGCGCCUGCUGCAUGCCCUCUCAGGCCGGCAGCCCCAGCCUGCUAGCUAGCUCAACUAGUGGGGUUUCCUGGCACUGGACCCCAGCAAGUGGUCCUAGAGGCCCUUUGCUGUCCCAUAGUCCCUGCCACGAAUUUCUGUGCCCUCCUGACCCAUUGCUGUUGUCCAACUAUUUAUUGACUCUGGGUCCUUCCUGAAACUAUAUUUUGUCAUAUCAAAUAAAGAGAGAACAGGACUAA